GUAGGCGAAAGGUGUGGAUAGGGCUGUGGGCUACCUGAGUACCACGGGGCACGGGAAACCCUGUGGGAAACCGGGAGGACCACCUCCCAAGGCUAAAUACUACCUGCGACCGAUAGUGGAGCAGUACCGUGAGGGAAAGGUGAAAAGCACCCCGGGAGGGGAGUGAAAUAGAACCUGAAACCGUGAUGCCUACAAACAGUAGGAGGGCGUUAAGGCCUGACGGCGUACUUUUUGUAGAACGGACCGGCGAGUUAAGGUAUGCA
rnacentral:rRNA from 1 species